rnacentral:rRNA from 1 species
UAACAAGGAUUCCCCUAGUAACGGCGAGUGAAGCGGGAUGAGCUCAAAUUUGUAAUCUGGCGGCCUCUGGCCGUCCGAGUUGUAGUCUGGAGAAGCGUUUUCCGCGUCGGACCGUGUACAAGUCCCUUGGAACAGGGCGUCGUAGAGGGUGAGAAUCCCGUCUUUGACACGGACUGCCGAUGCUUUGUGAUGCGCUCUCGAAGAGUCGAGUUGUUUGGGAAUGCAGCUCAAAACGGGUGGUAAAUUCCAUCUAAAGCUAAAUAUGGGCGAAAGACCGAUAGCGAACAAGUACCGUGAGGGAAAGAUGAAAAGCACUUUGGAAAGAGAGUUAAACAGUACGUGAAAUUGUUGAAAGGGAAACGCUUGAAGUCAGUCGCGUCUCCCGGGACUCAGCCUAGCCUUCUUGCUUGGUGUACUUCCUGGGACGACGGGCCAGCAUCGAUUUUGACCGUCGGAGAAAGGCUUUGGGAAUGUGGCACCUUUGGGUGUGUUAUAGCCCUCGGUCGUAUGCGACGGUCGGGAUCGAGGACCGCAGCACGCCUUUUUGGCCGGGGUUCGCCCACGUACGUGCUUAGGAUGCUGGCGUAAUGGCUUUAAGCGACCCGUCUUGAAAC